CUCUCUUGAACUCACCUCCCCACGAAAAAAACCCAACCCCCAAAUCGUGCGUGCUUGCUUAGGGUGGCAAACUACGGCAAUCCUAGGCGGCUGGGGAAGGAACGGUUAGCGACGCGCGAGAGCAGACGCGGUGCGGCGACGGGCUACGCGGCGGGCCGGCUCGCGCCUAGGCUGCGCCGGCGGUUGCGGUUGGGGUGGCUGCCUUGACGACGACGACAGGGGCCUGAGCGAGGAGAAGCUCGACAAGCUCGACAGCAAGCUCGGCGAGCGCAAGGCCUCCUCCUCCAAUGCCUCCACCUCUUCCGCGACCCCGCCGCUGCGGCCGGCGGCGACUGGCGGGCGGCCUCGGUGAGCGGUAGCUAUCGUGGUCGGCGGGUCAUAGGUGGUGAGGCGAGAGAGGCGAGGCGAUCCAAGCUCGAGGGCGUGAGCGGCGGGGAGGAGGCUGGAGUUGGAAGAAGAACAACGGUGGAGGCUGAGGUCGAUGCAGUCGCCGGCCCACAGACUCGCGUCGUGGUAAUCGGCGACCUCGGUGCCGAGUCCGCCGCUCAGCCCAGCCCUAGCUCGUCGGCCGGCUCCCCACUGUUGUGUUAUGCCCCUCGUUAGCAGCUCGCCAGAUCGUGUGGAAUUAGCCGCCGCAGCAUGGUGAUCGCUGGCAAACCAGGUGCAGCCGUGAGGAAAACAAGAGAUACAUCAGCACUUCUGGAAUUUUGGUCUGCCGUUUCUUGGGAAUUUUAUGGUUUCUUGGGAAUCUUUGUCAAAUUCCAGUCGUUUGAUGGUUUUACAGCUGAGAUGAACUACAGGCACUUCAUUUUCUCCUCCUGGAUUCUUUAUUUCAGUAAUUCUCAUUCUAGAUUUGGCAUUGUUGAUCAAGACCACUCGGAUCAACCUGAUGAAGGGCAGGGAACUACAAAGAUUUGCUACAGAUGGUUUAGCACGUCAAGUAUUUGUGCGGACAAAGAAGGCUAGGGAAGGAGGUUACAGUAAAAAGGUGCACUUGGUUUCCUUUAGUGUGCUAUAAGCUGUUUGCAGAAGGUAUUCUUGAUGCUACUUUAAUGUGUGCUGUAGGCUAAUCUAAGUUUUCCUUCUUCCAGGCUCUAUUUUGCUUUUCAGAUCAUGUUAUCCGCUUAUCCUAUCUAAUGCCCACUUCAACUCCUAAUUUAUUUGUGUCGUCUUGCCCUUUUUUCCGAUUGUCAGCAUGUGAUUCCUUAGUUUUCUUUUGAGUUCCUCCCUAUUUUGUCCUCUAAGAGAUUUCAUUUUGUGCACCAUAAGUCUUUGAUUGCAUACAUAUAUAAUUUGGGUAUUGAUUUAUUGCUAAUUGAAUAAUUGUUUUCAUAUGGUUGGACAUAACCAGGUUUAGCUUAAAUAAGGUGCUUGCUGGCUUACAACUAUGAUUUAUUUUGUGUUCCAAAAUUACAAUCUGUACUGAUUUAUUUGGAAAAAUUGGACUUUGACCUUUUUCUCUGUGGAUGUGUGUCAAAACAGACAGCUGAGAGCUGAGAUUACUCUGUUGUGAUUUUACGUUGACGACAUUCUAAGGAUAAUAAAACUAGAACUUUUGAUCUGGUGAGAACUUGUUUACUUGUAUUCCACCUUUAUUUACUCUUUUCCUUGUGCCACACAGUGCAGGUUAGGAGGUUGGACAACAGUACUUUCUGUAUGCAUGGUUCAAGAUUCAAAAUCCACUAGAUUAUCAGAAAAUGCAACUUCUGUCAUUUGGAAGAUGGAGUGUACCCUGCUUGCCAAGAUCAUGAUGGUGAUGAGGCCAUGGAGUUCAGAUCUAUUUACUUCUUACUACCUGGCCUAAUGUACGAUGACAAUAAUUCUUACCUCUUGGUAAAAGUCUAUGUUUGUGGAGCUCCAGUGCUUAGAUAAUUCUUCUAUUCCAUUGUUGAAGAGGUUUAGCUUAUUGUCCUAUGCUUAUUCUCUGUAUAUGCAAGUUGCUGAACUAACAGAUCUGAUGGUGGUGGUACCAUGUGGUGGCCAUUUGAAAUAAAAAUAAAGGAGCAUCGAAGAUCAAACUGCCGAUCUAGCUCUGUUUGCUUUCGCAGAUCCUUACGAGAACCGAAGGGCCAGUGGCAUCAUAUUAGAUGGCAGCAAGUGAGUAGUGUAUGGUUAACUGUUAAUUGUCCUCCUUCUGUAUGGAAAAUUUGUAUUUUCUGUUGGCACAUAGAAUUCUCACAUUGACAUGAAAUUUGUAUUUUACGUUGGCACAUAGAAUACUCACGUUGACCUGGAAUUUGAUUUUAUUGGCACUGAGAAUUCAUAUGGGUGUUUUGUUUUCA